rnacentral:rRNA from 1 species
AGGAUUAACGCUGGCGGCGUGCCUAACACAUGCAAGUCGAACGAGGUAGCAAUACCUAGUGGCAGACGGGUGAGUAACGCGUGGUCAACCUGCCCUUGAGCGGGGGAUAACUAGCCGAAAGGUUAGCUAAUACCGCAUACGUCUAGGAUGGCAUCAUCCAAAGAUAAAAGCCGCAAGGCACUCGAGGAGGGGACCGCGUCCCAUUAGUUAGUUGGUGGGGUAACGGCCUACCAAGACUCCGAUGGGUAGCUGGUUUGAGAGAGCGACCAGCCACACUGGGACUGAGAAACGGCCCAGACUCCUACGGGAGGCAGCAGUGAGGAAUUUUCCGCAAUGGGCGAAAGCCUGACGGAGCGACGCCGCGUGUGGGAAGAAGGCCUUCGGGUCGUAAACCACUGUCGAAGGGGACGAUAUUGACGGUACCCUUGGAGGAAGCCCCGGCUAACUACGUGCCAGCAGCCGC